GCAGUGAACCAGGCUGAGCCUUCUGUCCUCUGGACAUUUUCCUUCAUCCUGCUUCUGAUUCAGAUGUGGCUUUCUUUGUAUUGCACAGCCGGAUGAGAGUGGUGGAGGCCCUAGAGCUCGUGGGAUAAGGGAAAGGAAGAAUUUUGAAAGCACUGGACCAGCACUUCAAAAUGCUGUAUCAUGGGCAUUGGAGGUAAUUAGUGACGGUACAAUCCAGAAGCUACUUUUGGGGACCAGAUCUAGAGAUUUGAUAUUAAAUGCCAUGAAAGCUCUGAGAUUUGAACUUGAUGUUCUUUGUCCUAAAAAGCCCUUUUACGGAGAGAGUCAUCGUAUGGGCAGUUGCAGAGCUGCUGUCGUGCUAUUUCCAAUCUGUCAAAGGAGGCUGAUGCCAAAACAAACGUGGUGAAACACAGCAGAAUAAACACGGGGAACAGAUCUCUCUGAUGUGUGCAAACAGUUCUUUAAAAGCUUGACUACAGCUGCGGCCUGGAGAAUCUGGUGUACAGGUGGGGCCUCAAGGAUCUGGUAAGGAAUAACCUCUUUAAACUCUGGAAAAUGGGCUGGAGAGGCUGGUCAGUAUUCUGGUUGAACGGAAAAACGCAUCAAGGACCGCAGCAGUGGCAGCCCGCAGGAAGGGGUGUGCAGCAGAGGGAUUAAAGCUCUGCUCAGAGGCCUGGGAAUAAAAGGCUCUGCAGGUGAGCAGCUUAACUGGGUGUUAACUGGGCAGUGGGGGAACAUCUCUGGGAGGUGCAGAGGGAACAGGUGAGGGAUGUUGGUGUUGGAGGAACGUGUGAAUGCUGUUGCCCAGCUCUGUGACAAAGACUGGCUGAACUUUAUGGUUCCCUCACACAGAUGUGGUUGCCAAUUUCUUGAGCAAUUUA